AUUGAACGCUGGCGGCAUGCCUUACACAUGCAAGUCGAACGGUAACAGAUCUUCGGAUGCUGACGAGUGGCGAACGGGUGAGUAAUAUAUCGGAACGUGCCCAGUCGUGGGGGAUAACGCAGCGAAAGCUGUGCUAAUACCGCAUACGAUCUAUGGAUGAAAGCGGGGGAUCGCAAGACCUCGCGCGAUUGGAGCGGCCGAUAUCAGAUUAGGUAGUUGGUGGGGUAAAGGCCCACCAAGCCAACGAUCUGUAGCUGGUCUGAGAGGACGACCAGCCACACUGGAACUGAGACACGGUCCAGGCUCCUACGGGAGGCAGCAGUGGGGAAUUUUGGACAAUGGGUGCAAGCCUGAUCCAGCAAUGCCGCGUGCAGGAUGAAGGCCUCGGUUGUAACUGCUUUGUACGGUAACGAAAGGACUCUGGUUAAUACCUGGGCGUCAUGACGGUACCGUAAGAAUAAGCACCGGCUAACUACGUGCC
rnacentral:rRNA from 1 species